UACGAGUGCUCCAAGCGUUAUCCGGAAUCAUUGGGCGUAAAGGGUGUGUAGGUGGUUGUGUUAGUCUUCUGUUAAAUUCUUCGGCUUAACCGGGGGCAUGCAGGGGAAACGGCACAACUAGAGGAUGCGAGAGGUACAUGGAACUCAUGGAGUAGGGGUGAAAUCCGUUGAUAUCAUGGGGAACACCGAAAGCGAAGGCAAUGUACUGGCGCACUCCUGACACUGAAACACGAAAGCGUAGGUAGCGAAUGGG
rnacentral:rRNA from 1 species